rnacentral:rRNA from 1 species
UACGUAGGGGCCUAGCGUUGUCCGGAUUUAUUGGGCGUAAAGAGCUCGUAGGCGGCUCGUUGCGUCGGCUGUGAAAACCCGCAGCUCAACUGUGGGCCUGCAGCCGAUACGGGCGGGCUAGGAUUCGGUAGGGGAGACUGGAAUUCCUGGUGUAGCGGUGAAAUGCGCAGAUAUCAGGAGGAACACCGGUGGCGAAGGCGGGUCUCUGGGCCGAUAUCGACGCUGAGGAGCGAAAGCGUGGGGAGCGAACAGG